rnacentral:rRNA from 1 species
AGUGAACGCUGGCGGUAGGCCUAACACAUGCAAGUCGAACGGCAGCACAGUAAGAGCUUGCUCUUACGGGUGGCGAGUGGCGGACGGGUGAGGAAUACAUCGGAAUCUACUUUUUCGUGGGGGAUAACGUAGAGAAACUUACGCUAAUACCGCAUACGACCUACGGGUGAAAGCAGGGGAUCUUCGGACCUUGCGCGAUUGAAUGAGCCGAUGUCGGAUUAGCUAGUUGGCGGGGUAAAGGCCCACCAAGGCGACGAUCCGUAGCUGGUCUGAGAGGAUGAUCAGCCACACUGGAACUGAGACACGGUCCAGACUCCUACGGGAGGCAGCAGUGGGGAAUAUUGGACAAUGGGCGCAAGCCUGAUCCAGCCAUACCGCGUGGGUGAAGAAGGCCUUCGGGUUGUAAAGCCCUUUUGUUGGGAAAGAAAAGCAGCAGGUUAAUACCCCGCUGUUCCGACGGUACCCAAAGAAUAAGCACCGGCUAACUUCGUG